rnacentral:rRNA from 1 species
GAUGAACGCUAGCUACAGGCUUAACACAUGCAAGUCGAGGGGCAGCAUGAACAUAGCUUGCUAUGUUUGAUGGCGACCGGCGCACGGGUGCGUAACACGUAUCCAAUCUACCCAUGGCUCGGGGAUAGCCUUUCGAAAGAAAGAUUAAUACCCGAUGGUCUCGGUUUAAGGCAUCUUAGACUGAGUAAAGAUUUAUCGGCGAUGGAUGAGGAUGCGUCUGAUUAGGUAGAUGGCGGGGUAACGGCCCACCAUGCCUACGAUCAGUAGGGGUUCUGAGAGGAAGGUCCCCCACAUUGGAACUGAGACACGGUCCAAACUCCUACGGGAGGCAGCAGUGAGGAAUAUUGGUCAAUGGACGAGAGUCUGAACCAGCCAAGUAGCGUGAAGGAUGACUGCCCUAUGGGUUGUAAACUUCUUUUGUUUGGGAAUAAAGUUCGGGACGUGUCCCGUUUUGUAUGUACCAUUCGAAUAAGCUUCGGCUAAUUCCGUGCCAGCAGCCGCAGUAAAAC